GAGACUCUGUGCGCGUGCAUAUCAAUAAGCGGAGGAAAAGAAACUAACAAGGAUUCCCUUAGUAACGGCGAGUGAAGCGGGAAGAGCUCAAAUUUGAAAUCUUCAAGGUUUUACCUUGACGAAUUGUAGUUUAAAGAAGUGUUUUCUGUUGGAAGUUUCGGUAAAAGUUCUUUGGAAUAGGACAUCAUAGAGGGUGAGAAUCCCGUAUUUGACCAUUACUUUUCCAGCUGUGUGAUACACUUUCAAAGAGUCGGAUUGUUUGGGAAUGCAGUCCAAAAUGGGUGGUAAAUUUCAUCUAAAGCUAAAUAUUGGCGAGAGACCGAUAGCGAACAAGUACCGCGAGGGAAAGAUGAAAAGAACUUUGAAAAGAGAGUUAAACAGUACGUGAAAUUGUCAAAAGGGAAGCGUUUGACACCAGUGUUGUUUAGUUGAAAAUCAAUUCAAUAGUUUUUCGAUUCUAAGUAGUAUUGACCUCCAUCAGCUUGCUGCUUUCUUCUCAGGAAAUUAUUGAAUGCACUUUUCAGUUAACAAGUCAACAUCAAUUUCUUUUGUUGUAAAAGGGUAAGAGGAAGGUGGCUUGCGCUUCGGCUCAAGUGUUUAUAGCCUUUUAUCCUCUGCAAUCGGAGAGAUUGAGGUCUGCAGCGUAGAUCCUUCGGGGUUAGAUACAUUGGUGCUAAGCUAUAGCCUUGUAUAGACAACUUGUUGACUAUGUUCAGUCAUUGUAGCUUACUCGCUGAUGCUAUUUUACCUACGCUUAGGAUGUUGACAGCAGUAUAGACUGU
rnacentral:rRNA from 1 species